GUAUUAUAUGAAAGGAGAGAAGGCAAGCACUCCACUUCACAAGAAGGACAGAAGAGGUCCUGGGGCUACAACACACAUAGAGUCAAGGCAUUUCCACCUAUUUUAUGGCAUAUAACCACUUUGC
ensembl:snRNA